ensembl:lncRNA
GGAGAGUUACAGCACUUCUUUAACCGAUUUCAUAGCGUCAACAUUAAAGCAGCUGUUUAAAUACAGCGCUUGAUGUGUUCAUUAAAUAUGAGGCAAAGAAAGAUCCGCAGAGCUGUGCGUCACUCUCUGCGUCACAGAUGUGAAAGUGAAAGUAAGUUGUUGGGAGAGGCGCAGAGACGGAGACACGCAGAGGAUGAACUGUCAGUGAACGCCGGUCUUCAGUGUCCUACAGGGUUUCCUGUUGAUGUAGCUGAGCUAUGGAGUCCUGUAGCCCUGCUCACUGUGUCCUGAUCUUACUGAUCAUCACAUUCACUGCUGUGUAUGUGUCAGCUGUUCCUCUAGUGAAGGUGAAGCUUCAUGACUCUGCUACUCUGCCCUGCUCUGAGACAUGUUCUGGUUUGGUCAGAUGGACUGAGUUCAGUAAUCGCACUGAUGUUCUGGCUGAGUGUGAUCAGACUUCAUGUAGAUCAGUGAAGGAGGGAUAUCAGAUGAUCCAUGAUCAGUACCUGAAGGGAGAUUUCUCUCUCACCAUCACUGACGCUGAUUUCAGUAUGAUGGGCACGUACACAUGUGAGUGCGGUAAUUCUGAACUCUGUGAUGUGGAGCUUCAGGUUGAGGACACACCACAGGCAGGGAACAAUAUUUCUGGCAGCAGUCAUACUAAAGGAACGUCCCACGGAGCUCCACAGGUGUCUGUUCCAGGGUGGGCGACUGCUCUGAUACUUCUCACAGUGGCGCUGGUGAUUCUGGUGUUGGUGUUGGUGUUUUUUAUGAGGAGCCACAAUCAGAGCAUCAGAAGUACAAAUGAGCAGAUUAACAGCAUAGAAAAGACCCUCACAGACAGACUUGCUUCUCUGGAGAGCACUGUUGUCCAGAAUCGUGACCAGAUUAAGAGCACAGAAGAUACCCUCAAAAAGAGACUUGAUUCUUUGGAGAAGACUGGUGAGCAGAAUCGUGACCAGAUUAAGAGCACAGAAGAUACCCUCAAAAAGAGACUUGAUUCUAUGGAGAAGACUGGGAAGCAGAACAGUGAGCAGAACAGUGACCAGAUUAACAACAUAGAAAAGACCCUCAAAGAGAAACUUGCUUCUUUGGAGAGGACUGUGGGGCAGAACAGUGACCAGAUUAAGAGCACAGAAGAUACCCUCAAAAAGAGACUUGAUUCUUUGGAGAAGACUGGGAAGCAGAACAGUGACCAGAUUAACAGCAUAGAAAAGACCCUUAAAGAGAAACUUGCUUCUUUGGAGAGCACUGUUGUCCAGAAUCGUGACCAGAUUAAGAGCACAGAAGAUACCCUCAAAAAGAGACUUGAUUCUAUGGAGAAGACUGGUGUCCAGAAUUGUGACCAGAUUAAGAGCACAGAAGAUACCCUCAAAAAGAGACUUGAUUCUAUGGAGAAGACUGGAAACACCGUAAAGACCCCGACACUCUGACACCCCGACCAGCAGCAGCUCAGCUGUGUCUGAUUUCAUCUUCAGCUGAUUGCAGAGCAUCUGAAGCAGCUGUAAGGCAGCAUGUUCACCCUUCAGCUCCUGAUAGAAGUGUGGAUGAGUUCCUCUCAGAGCUCACAGCUCACUAUCACACACACAGUGUUUAUAUAGAAGUGGACGUGUAGGAGUGAACCAGUGAUGAUCAGCCAGCAGCAGCUCUGACUGUUUAAAAGUGAUCAGGUAUUGAUUGUGUAAUAGAGCACUGAGUUGGCUGUAGAUGGAUCACUGUGCUGUGGAUCUAAAUGCCUUUACACACUGAACCAGAUAUAAAAAUAAACACAAAUGUUAAACAUCUAAACUGUAAAAUGAACAAACGGUCAGAAGGUCUGUGUAGAAGAUCCUGCGCUCCUCACUCUCUACUCUGUAAAAGCUAAAGGAGAGCAGAGAGCUUCACCCAGAUCAGAUCUCCAGAACUCAGUCUGAGCUGCUUCUGGAGGUGCAAAACUAAUAGACCAAACAGAAUAAUGUUAUAAUGUUCACCCCCCAAAAAUCUCACUCAGGGUGAUCAAUUAUAUAUAUAUUUAUAGUCGCAAAGCAGCUUCACAGAAUUCCAGAAAAGACCGUUUUAACAAGAAGUGCAAAGAAAACCCAGGUGAGCAAGCCAGGGGCGACAGUGGCAAGGAAAAACUGCCUCACAACUGAGGAAGAAACCUAGUAGUGGCAGGAUUUCUCUGUCCUCACAAAGUUCCCAACUUUUUUACUUCUUACCUGAAGUGUUACUCACUUACUGAUACUCGUAUUACUUUCUGUGUGUAUAGAACCCACAUUACUGCAGCUAACUAACUAAAAGCUCUUAAUAACUACAACCUCUCACAGCAUGUGUGACUUUAUUAACACUAUUGUUGUUACUGUUGUUAUUAGUAAUAGUAUUGGUAGUAAUAUUGUACCUUCUAUUGCCUGCACAUCUUCUAUAUUUCUGCAAGUAAGAGUUAAAUAAAAAAAUGUCUAAUAUUUCCUGUCUUAGUGUGAACGUGACAUCACAAACAUCACAAAAUGUGUGAACAGGCCAAUGAGACAGAGAGCAGUAUAAACAUUAAUAAGUGAAAUUCAGAACUUGUGAACUGGCCAAUGGGACAGUUGGAAAUAUGAAUAUUAAUGAGAGCUGGAAUACCUUUAUUGAGAAGUAGCAGCUUUACUUCAGUCUGGCUCAGGUUCUUUUCAGGAACUGAGUUGGGAAACAGAAGAAACACCUGCUCAUCUUCACUCACAUGUAAUUAUGAAGUGAUGAUCACUGGUUCACAGUAUUGAUCACUGGUUCACAGUAUUGACCACUGGUUCACAGUAUUGAUCACUGGUUCACAGUAUUAAUCACUAGUUAAUAGUAUUGAUCACUGGUUCACAGUAUUGAUCACUGGUUCACAGUAUUGACCACUGGUUCACAGUAUUAAUCACUAGUUAAUAGUAUUGAUCACUGGUUCACAGUAUUGACCACUGGUUCACAGUAUUGACCACUGGUUCACAGUAUUAAUCACUGGUUCAUAGUAUUGAUCACUGGUUCACAGUAUUGACCACUGGUUCACAGUAUUAAUCACUAGUUCACAGUAUUAAUCACUGGUUCAUAGUAUUAAUCACUAGUUCAUAGUAUUGAUCAUUGGUAUGUCUUUGUAUUGUAUUUGUGUAGCAUGUCUGAAGGUUUAUUGUUGUGAAUGUAUACAGAACUGUAAUCACUAAUUCUGCAUGUUAACACCUUGUAGACUCUUAAUUUGCUAAAGAUACUUGUUAUGCAUAACAAUACAAGGUUGUUAUAACCCUGCGUGUAUGAACAGUAAAGGCUGUUUAAAUUACUGCUUAACAUCUUCAAAUGAAUGUUUGACAAAGUAAACUAUUAAAAAUCCCAUGUAACUU